GGCCUUUUCAAAUUAGCUUCCUGAACAGCCACAGCUAUAAUGUGAUCCUUACCGAGUGCUUCAUGAGAGCGCAGACACUUGUGUAUAAAUAGGAAGCUCUUGUGUCAAUACCCAAGACACCAAUAUCAAGGCCAGACAGAAAAUGCUCCAACAAGAGACCUAUAGUGCACAAGUAAUCACAUGGGCUGAGGCCAGGUGGGGACUGUAAAACACAAUAGGAGACAUAGUCCCCCCUUCAUUGCCUCAUUGCCAGAGAUUUUUUUCUCUAUAUGGUUUUGGAAUAAAGUAGAAGCAAUAGCUGCCAGGAAUUCUCAUAAAGUACCACGGUGUCUGAGUAAUAACAUUCUCUAAGUCACGGAAUGUCAGGAAGUUCCAUUUUCUCUGUGACCUACAAUAUAAAAAAAAAAUCUAUUCACUGAGUAUGGUGGAGAAAGGGUUUCUGAGGUGAAUCCUGAGGGAAUCUGCUCUUCAAUAGAACAACUGAGCCAGGUUUUCUUCUGCAAACUGAACAUCACGGUGAGUCCAUUUUCAGAGAGAAGAACGAGGAAAAGGAAGAAGGUGACAGGACAUGAAUGCACAGAAGGAGGGAGAGGAGACGGAGUUGGGCAAUGCUCUUUGGAAAUGUCAAGGCAGUUGGAAGAGUUGGAAGGUUGCUUUUAUCGUGAGCAUGUAUACGACGCAAAUAAGAGAGGAGAAAAAAAAAACAGGAAAAGCAAGAGACUGGCUUGGAAAAUGGUAAUGAAGAAGCAGUUCAGUGAUAAUCACCUCAACUACUGGAGACUGAGAAGCAAAUCUACCACAAAAAGGCAGAAAAAUACAGAUUCAGAAAGGAAAAAAAAACAGACUGACUAAAACCAACCAACAAAAAUGAACAAGCCACCCAAUAGCUCCAUCUCCUAAUAAAUAAAUAAAUAAACAAACAAAUAAAUAAUAAAUAAAUAAAUAAAUCUUAUCUCUGAUCACUAACGGCAAGUAGUUCUGGUAGAUUUAAGAAAGAGUGCGUUGCCAAACCAACUGUUUAUCCAAUACUAAAUGAUCAGCCCAGAAAUCAUAUAUACGAGGAACUAGUUAUAUUUAGGAAUAUAUAUAUAUAUAUAUCUCAAUUAAUGGAAAACGGGGAUAUAAAGAGAGAGAUAGAUAG
rnacentral:sRNA from 1 species